GUUUAUUUCGGUAGACAUCUUAGUGGCGCACGGGUGAGUAACGCGUGAAUAACCUGACCCGAAGAGGGGGAUAACACCUGGAAACAAGUGCUAAUACCGCAUAAGACCACGGACCGGCAUCGGUCAGAGGUCAAAGGAGGAAUCCGCUUUGGGAGGGGUUCGCGUCCCAUUAGGUAGUUGGUGAGGUAACGGCCCACCAAGCCGACGAUGGGUAGCCGAGCUGAGAGGCUGAUCGGCCACACUGGAACUGAGACACGGUCCAGACUCCUACGGGAGGCAGCAGUGGGGAAUAUUGGGCAAUGGGCGCAAGCCUGACCCAGCAACGCCGCGUGAGGGAAGAAGGUUUUCGGAUUGUAAACCUCUGUCGCAGGGGACGAAGGAAGUGACGGUACCCUGUAAGAAAGCCCCGGCUAACUACGUGCCAGCAGCCGCGGUAAUACGUAGGGGGCGAGCGUUGUCCGGAAUUACUGGGCGUAAAGGGAGCGUAGGCGGUCGAUUAAGUUAGAUGUGAAACCCC
rnacentral:rRNA from 1 species